rnacentral:rRNA from 1 species
UGCAUGUCUAAGUACAUGCCGUAUUAAGGCGAAACCGCGAAUGGCUCAUUAAAUCAGUUAUGGUUCCUUGGAUCGUACCUUACUACUUGGAUAACUGUGGCAAUUCUAGAGCUAAUACAUGCAGCAGAGCUCCGACCUUCGGGAACGAGCGCUUUUAUUAGACCAAAACCAAUCGGACCUCGUGUCCGUUGAAUGUGGUGACUCUGUAUAACUUUGGGCUGAUCGCACGGGCUCGUCCCGGCGACGUAUCUUUCAAGUGUCUGCCUUAUCAACUUUCGAUGGUAGGUUACGCGCCUACCAUGGUCGUAACGGGUAACGGGGAAUCAGGGUUCGAUUCCGGAGAGGGAGCCUGAGAAACGGCUACCACAUCCAAGGAAGGCAGCAGGCGCGCAAAUUACCCACUCCCAGAACGGGGAGGUAGUGACGAAAAAUAACAAUACGGGACUCUUUUGAGACCCCGUAAUUGGAAUGAGUACACUCUAAAUCCUUUAACGAGGAUCCAUUGGAGGGCAAGUCUGGUGCCAGCAGCUGCGGUAAUUCCAGCUCCAAUAGCGUAUAUUAAAGUUGUUGCGGUUAAAAAGCUCGUAGUUGGAUCUCAGUUCCAGACGGGUGGUCCACCAUUAGGUGGCUACUGCCUGUUCUGAACAGCCAGCCGGUUUCCUUUGAUGAUCUUCACCGGUUGUCUUGGGUGACCGGCAAGUUUACUUUGAAAAAAUUAGAGUGCUCAAAGCAGGCGUGACGCCUGAAUAAUGGUGCAUGGAAUAAUGGAAUAGGACCUCGGUUCUAUUUUGUUGGUUUUCGGAACACGAGGUAAUGAUUAAGAGGGACAGACGGGGGCAUUCGUAUUGCGACGCUAGAGGUGAAA